rnacentral:rRNA from 1 species
ACGAUUCUGGCUCAGAUUAGACGCUGGCAGGAUGCUUUACCAUGCGGAAGCGAACGGCAGCACGGACUUCGAUCUGGUGGCGAGUGGCGAACGGGUGAGUAAUGUAUCGGAACGUGCCUAGUAGCGGGGGGAUAACUACGCGAAAGCGUAGCCUAACCACACUGCUCGCCCUUCGGAGAGAAAGCAGGGGACCUUCGGGCCUCGCACUAUUAAACGGCCGAUAUCGGAUUAGCUAGUUGGUGGAGUAGCGGCUCGCGAAGGCGGCAAAUCCGUAGCUGGUUUGAGAGGACGACCAGCCACACUGGACUGAGACACGGCCCAGACUCCUACGGGGAGGGCAACAGUGAAAUUUUGGACAAUGGAAACCUGAUCCAGCCAUCCCGCGUGUGCGAUGAAGGCCUUCGGGUUGUAAGCCUUUUUGGCAGGAAAACGGCACGGGAUAAUACCCGUGCAACUGACGGUACCUGCAGAAUGACACCUGGCUAACUACGUGCCAGCAGCCGCGGUAAUACGUAGGGUGCAAGCGUUAAUCGGAAUUACUGGGCGUAAAGCGUGCGCAGUGAUUCGGAAGAAAAAUCUUGAAAUCCCAGAGCUUAACUUUGGAACUGCAUUUUUAACUACCGAGCUAAAGUGUGUAGAGGAAGUGGAAUUCCCGCGCGAUGUAGCAGUGAAAUGCGUAGAUAUGCGGAAGACACCAUAAUGGCGAAGCUGACUCGCAGGAUAACACUGACGCUCAUGCACGAAAGCGUGGGAGCAAGCAGGAUUAGAUGCCCUGGUGGUCCAUACCCUAAACGAUGUCAACUAGCUGUUGGGGCCUUCGGGCCUUGGUGACGCAGCUAACGCGUGAAGUUGACCGCCUGGGAAAUACGGUCACUGAAUUAAAACUCAAAGGAAUUGACGGGGACCCACUGAAGCGGUGGAUGAUGCCUGAUUGAUUAUUCGAUGCAGCGCGAAAAGCCUUACCUACCCUUGACAUGUCUGGGAAUCCCGAAGAAAUUUGGGAGUGCUCGCAAAGAGAACCGGAACACAGGUGCAUGGCUGUCGUCAGCUCGUGUCGUGAGAUGUUGGGUUAGAAUCCCGCAACGAACAUGACACUUGUCAUUAGUUGCCACGAAGGGCACUCUAUUGAGACUGCCGGUGACAAACCGGAGGAAGGUGGGGAUGACGUCAAGUCCUCGCGGCCCUUAUGGGUAGGGCUUCACACGUCAUACAAUGGUCAGGACAGAGGGUCGCCAACCCCGCGAGGAGGCCAAUCCCGAAACUGAUCGUAGUCCGGAUCGCAGUCUGCAACUCGACUGCGUGAAGUCAGAAUCGCUAGUAAUCAUAGAUCAGCAUGUCGCGGUGAAUACGUUCCAGGUCUUGUACACACCACCGCCCGUCACAUCUGGAGUGGGUUUUACCAGAAGUAGUUAGCCUAACCGGCAAGGAGGCGAUUCUACGGUAGGAUUCAUGACUGGGGCGAAGUCAUGCUCGGUAA